rnacentral:rRNA from 3 species
AGGCAGCAGUGGGGAAUAUUGGACAAUGGGCGAAAGCCUGAUCCAGCAAUGCCGCGUGAGUGAAGAAGGCCUUCGGGUUGUAAAGCUCUUUUACCCGGGAAGAUAAUGACCGUACCGGGAGAAUAAGCCCCGGCUAACUCCGUGCCAGCAGCCGCGGUAAUACGGAGGGGGCUAGCGUUGUUCGGAAUCACUGGGCGUAAAGCGUGCGUAGGCGGCCAUUCAAGUCAGAGGUGAAAGCCCAGGGCUCAACCCUGGAACUGCCUUUGAAACUAGAUGGCUGGAACACGGGAGAGGUGAGUGGAAUUCCGAGUGUAGAGGUGAAAUUCGUAGAUAUUCGGAAGAACACCAGUGGCGAAGGCGGCUCACUGGACCGUUGUUGACGCUGAGGCACGAAAGCGUGGGGAGCAAACAGGAUUAGAUACCCUGGUAGUCCACGCCGUAAACGAUGAUAACUAGCUGUUGGGGCUCUUGGAGCUCCAGUGGCGCAGCUAACGCAUUAAGUUAUCCGCCUGGGGAGUACGGCCGCAAGGUUAAAACUC